rnacentral:rRNA from 1 species
AACAGGAUUAGAUACCCUGGUAGUCCACGCCGUAAACGAUGUCGACUAGCCGUUGGGUCCUUCGCGGACUUUGUGGCGCAGUUAACGCGAUAAGUCGACCGCCUGGGGAGUACGGCCGCAAGGUUAAAACUCAAAUGAAUUGACGGGGGCCCGCACAAGCGGUGGAGCAUGUGGUUUAAUUCGACGCAACGCGAAGAACCUUACCUACCCUUGACAUCCUCGGAAUCCGCCAGAGAUGGCGGAGUGCCUUCGGGAACCGAGAGACAGGUGCUGCAUGGCUGUCGUCAGCUCGUGUUGUGAAAUGUUGGGUUAAGUCCCGUAACGAGCGCAACCCUUGUCCCUAUUUGCCAGCGAUUCGGUCGGGAACUCUAGGGAGACUGCCGGUGACAAACCGGAGGAAGGUGGGGACGACGUCAAGUCAUCAUGGCCCUUACGGGUAGGGCUACACACGUGCUACAAUGGUCAGUACAAAGGGUUGCGAACUUGCGAGAGUGAGCCAAUCCCAGAAAGCUGAUCUCAGUCCGGAUCGGAGUCUGCAACUCGACUCCGUGAAGUCGGAAUCGCUAGUAAUCGUGAAUCAGAAUGUCACGGUGAAUACGUUCCCGGGCCUUGUACACACCGCCCGUCACACCAUGGGAGUGGACUGCACCAGAAGUGGUUAGCCUAACCUUCGGGAGGGCGAUCACCACGGUGUGGUUCAUGACUGGGGUGAAGUCGUAACAAGGUAACC